rnacentral:rRNA from 1 species
GUUUGAUCCUGGCUCAGAGCGAACGUUAGCGGCGGGCCUAACACAUGCAAGUCGUGCGAGAAAGUCGGCUUCGGCCGGCGAGUAGAGCGGCGCACGGGUGAGUAACACGUGGACAAUCUGCCCUUCGGUGGGGGAUAACUUUCCGAAAGGAUUGCUAAUACCGCAUAAGACCACGUCCUCUUCGGGGGAUGAGGUCAAAGACGGCCUCUUCAUGAAAGCUGUCGUCGAAGGAUGAGUCCGCGGCCCAUCAUGCUAGUUGGUAGGGUAAUGGCCUACCAAGGCGAAGACGGGUAGCUGGUCUGAGAGGAUGACCAGCCACACUGGAACUGAGACACGGUCCAGACUCCUACGGGAGGCAGCAGUGGGGAAUAUUGGGCAAUGGGCGAAAGCCUGACCCAGCCACGCCGCGUGAGUGAUAAAGGCCUUCGGGUCGUAAAGCUCUGUGGGGAGGGAAGAAACCUUCCAGGGAACAAUACCCCUGGGACUUGACGGUACCUCCUUAGCAAGCACCGGCUAACUCCGUGCCAGCAGCCGCGGUAAUACGGAGGGUGCAAACGUUGCUCGGAAUCAUUGGGCGUAAAGCGUGUGUAGGCGGCCUGUUAAGUCGGGUGUGAAAGCCCCGGGCUCAACCCGGGAAGUGCAUUCGAUACUGGCAGGCUUGAGUACGGGAGAGGGUCGCGGAAUUCCCGGUGUAGAGGUGAAAUUCGUAGAUAUCGGGAGGAACACCAGUGGCGAAGGCGGCGACCUGGACCGAUACUGACGCUGAGACACGAAAGCGUGGGGAGCAAACAGGAUUAGAUACCCUGGUAGUCCACGCUGUAAACGAUGGGUGCUAGUGUCGUGGGUAUUGACCCUCUGCGGUGCCGAAGUUAACGCAUUA